CAAGCUGUGGCAUAACCAGAAAAUGGUGAAAUCACAUACCACCACAUCUAGGAAGGCUAGCUUAGAAAAUGGUAAGGUUGGUGUUCUCAAACGUAUUCAGCCAAGAGUGUACUGAAUGCUCACUGCAUGCCAGGCUUGGUGCUAAACAGACAGUGGAGAAUAUGAUGAGGAGCACUGUUAAGAUGUGGCCUCCCUUCUUGUGUAUAGUAGUCUGGAUUUAAAAAUCACAAUAAAAUGUGGCAGGAAUUGUUUCAGGGGAUGAAUAAGGGUUGUGGCAGCAUGUAGAAGAAGCAACUAACACAAUUCAGGGGAUGUCAAAGAGACUUCCGUGAGAUCUAAAGGAUGAGUGAGAGGGAAGUAGCCAGGGGAUCUGGGGCAGGGACGAAAAAGUGUUCUGAAGAGAGAAACAGUAUGUGUGGAGGUCCGAAGGAAAGAGAGGAGGACACAGUUGUUUCUAGAGCCAGUGUGGCAGGAACACAGUACGUAAAGGAAGAACUGAGAGAAAUAAAUCUGGAGGGGCACAGGAGAGUUGUCUGUUCUUUUAAAAGGGUUCCCUAUGUAGAGGAGAUAGAUCUAGUAAGUAUUAAUUUUUUUUUUCUUUUAGAGACAGGGUCUUGCUAUAUUGACCAGGCUACUUUUGAACUCUUGGCCUCAAGUGAUCUUCUGGCCUGGCAUCCCUAAGUGCUGGGAUUACAGGGGCGAACCACUGAGCCAGGCCGAGAACUGACUGAAUUGACUGCUGCAUCAGUGCUUGGGAAAGAAAGCUGCCCUCACUCUGAAAAGAAGAUAAGUGUACUUCCAGACAGAGAGUUGAGGUGGAAAGACAGAAUUGGGGCAUAAAAGAAAAAUUUUGAGAUUUAUGAAUAAGAGUUCAAAAUUCUAAAUUCUAUCAGCAAUCCAAAUUACAAUCUUUUGAUAAAUUUAUAAUCAAAUAUUAAGGAAACAACUUCACCACCACCAAGGGACCAUCAUCCUUGAGUAAGCUCAAAAUACCCCAAAGUAAAACUGAGUGGGAAAGAAUCACCUUGAGGGCAAGGAACCCCUUUCAAUGUUAAAACCUAGAGAUAUAGAGUGAGUGGUACGAUUUUAUUUUUAUUUUUUUAAUUUAUUUCUUUUUUAAUGGAGAUGGCAAUGUUGCCCAGGCUGGUCUCAAACUCCUGGGCUUAAGUGAUCCUCUCGCCUUGGCCUUCCAAAGUGCUGGGAAAGUGAGCCACCACACCAGGUCUUACUAUUUUAUUACCCCACUUUCCAUAAAUCCAGUUCCAGUAAGUCUAUCCAAAAAAUGUAAGCACAAAAGAUGGAUGUCAAAUUCUAACAUACAUGAAGUGGGUUGAUUGGUAAGAUUCCUAUUAAUGCUUAUGACUGUGACCCCUAGUUAAAUUUUUUUUUUCAUUUAGAUACAGACAACUGAAACAAAAGAAUUGACUAUAAUGUGCACAGUUUCUGCCAAAGAACUACAGGAAUACUCUAAUCUUUUCUACUCCUUUUUAAAAUGCUGACUGCAACCUGCUAAAUUGAUUUGUGACCCACCAACAAGGUGCAACUGUAGUUUUUUUGAAAAACAGUGUUUUAAGUUACAGUAUAUGAUGUAUUAGUUAAAAGAACUGAAAACAUAAUGUAAAAUUAAACAGGAAUAGAAUCAUCACUUUUUAAAAGCAGAAAAUCUGUCCACACACUAGCACAAAUUUAGUGUUGCAACAAAACAUUAACGUUUACUUAAUGACAUGGGAAAAUACUAAAAAUGUUAAAUAAAA
rnacentral:lncRNA from 1 species